CAGAGGAGAACCAGAGAGAGGAGGAGAACCACAGAGGAGAACCACAGAGAGGAGGAGAACCAGAGAGAGGAGGUGGACCUCAGAGAGGAGGUGCUGUGAGUUCUGUCUGUUCGGAGGAGAACCUGAAUCUGAAGAAGUUUGGAAGUGCAUGCUGGGUAAAGGAGGAGCAGUGAGGAGCAGCAGGAGCUUCUUCAGAGAGGAGACCCAGCAGGACCUGAAACGUUCCUUCUUCUCUCCAUCCUCAUUAGAGCUCGUUCUAGACGACAGCGCCCCCUAAGAGCAGCAGCUGGAACUGCAAAGCAUGAAGUCUGGUCCACUUCAAUCUUUGGUUCUCCUGAAACCCGACCAGAUGAUGGGCGGGGCUUAUUAUUACUUCUGCUCCUUCCAGUGGGAGGAGCCAACAGUUGGUGUCUAACAGAGGUCUCCUCGUGACCUCGGCAUCAUGACAAUGUUCAUGAGGAAGAUCACAGCUUCCUUUUUGAUUUGUCUCUGCCUCGGCAUGCACGUAGAACUGUGCACAUAGAGCCGUGCACGUAGAGCCGUGCACGUAGAGCCGUGCACGUAGAGCCGUGCACGCAGCACUCAGUCCUGAGCAAACGUUUCCCUCCAAAGGCGGCAUUCCUGUGACACGCCCGGCAAACAGCAUCAUGUCCCCUUUUGUUGGGACUCUCUCCGUCUCGCCGAGUGUUAAUCUAGAGUCAACAUCAUCAGCUGUUUGCUGGAGUCGCCCUCAAAGAACGCUGCAGCCUUUGUCUCUGCAGGUGUUUGGAGAGCUUUGUGCUUGACGGCGUGGUCCGAGACUUUGAUGUGGCGUCUGACCUCCAUCACGCCGACAUUUGGAGAGUUUUAAGGAGAAAAAACUCCUGAGAUGUUUAACAUUCUUAUCAACUGAACGUCUUUAUUUCACGAUGAUCAGUGAUUUGUCAACAUUUUUUAUUUCAUUUUUAAGUAAACUUCUUUUCAUUUGCUGAUCAUGUUUUUGUCAGAUUUAACUUUCAGGUCUUCAUCCGUGAACUAAACCGAUCUUCAGAACCGGAUCAGAGGUUCUGGUUCCUCUCAGAUCUUCAUCAGGACCUAAAUCUCUGUCUGUAGUAUUUGUAAGUUCUUGUAUUUCUCGCAGUAUUUUCAGGUUUGGGGCAGAAACGAUCCUCCAUCCAAAGUAAACUUCCAGAAUCUGAUUCACUGAAGGAAAGAAUCACCUGAGAUCACGGAAAUACCAGAGAUCCUCUGAUCCAUCAGGUGGGAUCUGGAUUCUCUUCCAGACUCGUGUCUGGAUUUGUGUUUUCUUUGCUACGGUGGCCCUGAAGGUCAAAUCAGAUCAGCAAAUCACUCAAUGGAAAAACAUUUUAAGGAUGAUUAUAAAGAUUGAAGACGCAGAACAAAUCGGUAAAAACUCCUGAGAUUUCAGAAACAAAAGUAAAAAUGAAUCAAUAAGUAAACAGAAAAGGUGAAUAUUAUGGGAUGUUUCUAGUUGCUUGAUGACAUUGAGUUUUCCAGACGUCUGUAAAUGACACCAGAACGUUUGUAGUCUCACUUCAUCAUAAAGACGUCUAAGUUAAAGUGAUGAACAAACAUCAUCGUCCAAUCAGGGAUGUCUCUUCAUUUUUCAACUUUUCAUUUUGAUUCCUGUAAAUUACUUUUGUUUUCUGAAAUGUUUCACUUUUGUUUUGUUUAAUUUUGAGAGAAUUUUUCUGUUUGUUGUUGUUUUUGUGUUAUUUGUUUUGUUUAUUUAAUUUUUCAUAUAUUUAUUGUAUUUUCCACAUAAUGACACAAACAAGACAAAGAACCCCCCCCCCGUGCUGUCAACAAUCAUACUUUACUUAUACCUAAUUAUAAUUACAGGAUAUAAUAAAACGUAUUUAUGUAUAAACAUAAAAAUCAGAAUCAAAAAUAUUCCAACAACAGCAUAACAAUGUCAGGAUAUUGUACUUGAAUGAAUAACAAAGAAGUAAAACAACAGAGAGAGAAAAUCCUUCAGUCGCUUUAGGAGAUGAUGAUUGAAGUUAAAGUAAAAAACUUCAGUCGUAUUUUUGUCCAGAAUCUCUCGGUUUAUCUUAUUUUCUGAAGUUUUAAAUGAAAUAAAAACUUCUUUAAUGUAAUGUCAAACUGUGGGUGGAGCCUUCUGAAAAGAAUCAAACGUCGUUUUAUUCGUCAUGAUGUCUCACAUUCAAGUAGGUGAUGCGGUUUGACCUUCAGGGCCUCCGUACUUUCUCAUUUUCUGAGAACAGAAGAUGUUCCAGGAAGUCUAGAACCAUCAUCAGCAUCUGCAGAUGAUAAGAACAGAUGUAAACAAACUAAACAGCUGCAGUGACGCAUCAGCGCAGCUACAACAAACCCCACCUGUUAGCUCAGGUGUCCGUCUGUUCAGGUUGAUGAUUAACUCCAGAGGAAACGGGAUGUUUCUGUAGAUGUUUCAAUAUUCUGGAAUGAUGAUGUCACUUCCUGUUAGUGAUCUUUCACUUUAACGAACUGAAUCUAAAACAUGAAAUCCUGCGAUGAUCCGAGUCCUGCUCCUGAGGGAGGUGCUGAUCCGAGCUCCCUAAAAUGAUCCAACGUGGAGGGGGGGGGCAGAGCCAUUACAGCAGGAUUUGGGUCGGACCUGCUUGAGUAAUGGCAGCGGCGCAUUAGGGGAGGGGGGGUGAGUCAACAUGAGAGGCCGCAGGCUGACCCCGCGGCGGAUUACACACUCUGAUUUAAGAGCAUCUCUGCCCCCCCCAGCAGCAGCCCGAGCUGCCCCCCCCCAGGAUCAGAUCAGGGUUCCUUUCCACAGAAAGAGGGAGAGACAUCCGAGCCCCCGCCGUGGUAAGUAAAUACAGCCUAAUGGCCUCUGAUUAAUUCUACACGGCUCUCAUCGGCCGUAAAAAGAGAUGUAAUGACCUGCACCCCCCACCCCCCCUCACAGAGUCUUUCUCAAUUUCUCUCUCAUUUGCUCAGCUUUUGAUUGUGAAUUAAAAGGGAUUGCAAAUGCUAUGCUGUCGGUUGGCCCCCUGAUUGCCAUAUUUGAUUAAGAAAUGUCAGUGUGCGUGUUUCCUGUCUUCCUCAUCCCGCCGUGGUCGCCGUAACAUUCACACAUCCGGCAGCAGCACAAUAGCCCGCUCCAACCACGGAAAACUUGCUCUAAUCAAACACAUUCUUCCCUCUUUUUCUGUUUAUCAGCCUUUUUCUGCCUUUUCAAGGCCGGCUGCGUUUUUGUAUCAGCUGUGAUACGCAGCAACAAGGAGAAAUCACAGACAAUUAAAGAGCAUUGAGGACGGCAGGUAGAGGAGCUGGAGAAGAACGAGUGAUGGGGGGGUUCUGACAGGUUUCCUCCAGAUGGAAACGGAAAGAAAAACUUCCAGAAGGUACAAAAUCCACGUCAGGACUGCUGAUGUGUAACGUCUGACAGCGUUUGAAUCCUGUUUCAAACCUUUCAUCCUUUGACUUCAGAGCUGAAGCAGAUUGAAGACAAAAGUAGGUCAGUUCACCAAUCACCUGUAGGCUCAGUUGUGCUGAAGGCUUUUCUCAGAAUGCACGCCAUUAUAGGCCGCUACACGCCACUAUAGGCCACUACACGCCAAUAUAGGCCGCUACACGCCACUAUAGGCCACUACACGCCACUAUAGGCCACUACACGCCGCUAUAGGCCACUACACGCCACUAUAGGCCGCUACACGCCACUAUAGGCCACUACACGCCACUAUAGGCCCCUACACGCCACAAUAGGCCACUACACGCCACUAUAGGCUGCUACAUGGCACUGCACGCUAUUUGCUGCUUCUCACCGCCAAAUGUCGCUAUAUGCCGCUGCAUGCUGCUACGCGGCACCAUACAAGUGCGCGUGUGUGUUUGUGCUUGUGUGUACAUGCAUGUGUGUACGUGGGCCUUUGCUGAUGUCCCGUGUCCAUCAGCACACAGAGCACGUGUCCUCAGCAGCAGAAGCCCCUCCAUCCCGUCACAGGGUCAGAUCAAGAGUGCAGAGGAGAACUAAUUCCUUUGAAAACCAGAAUCCGACCAAGGACGGCGUUCCCAUUUCACUGAGGAGAACAAAUAAUGGAGGGAGCGAGGGAGAAAAUGGGUUGGAGAGAAGGUGAAGGUGGUCGUUGGACAGAAUGUUGUGAAAUGAAAAGCGGCGCUGCAGCGGCGGCGGGAUGGAGUGGCGGGCUUCAUGCCGGAGGCCGUGCGGAGGGCAGCUCCGGGUCCCUUUGUUAUCCAGGAGUUUAUCUCAGAGGAGGGAAGCUCAUUGUCCCGAGCUGGUAGAAUGUGACUGUAUGUCCUCCCUCUGCCCCCCCCCGGCUGAACAUGGGGGGCGAUGCUAAAAAAGGAGCAAAGGAAGAGGUGAGAGUGACGUCUGCUCGCAGAGGAAAGGCUGCUAAUAAGGGGACGGCACAAGGAGAAAAGGUUCUGCACGGUGGCCCCCUCCACAUUAUAUUCUUGACUCCCCUCUAGGAGGGCCUAAUGAUGCUCUCCACGGAGGGGGGGGACGGCGGCGAGAAGACAGGCCGAGGAAGGACCGAGGAUGAGGAGGCAGAAGGAGCUCGUCUCCUCAAGACUCUCCAUGUUCCCAUCUUCCUCUCACUGUACCCCCCCCACCUGCGGGGGAGUCCUCCAUCAAUCCGAGGAGCAGACGGGAUCCGGGCCUGCAGCUGCAGCCAGCAGCAGCAUCCCAGGAAUUUCCCCUCGUUGGGAAUUUUAUUAGCAAUUUCCAAAACAAACCCCUCUCCCUCCGGCCCCCCCGUCCUCCCCCAAUGUCAGAGUAUCCAUAAACAAAAUCAGAGGGUACAGUAAGGUCUCUAAUCAAGGCAAUCAGGGCUGUUUUCAGAGGUGUGCAGCGCCGCCGCCGCCGCCGUCGCCGCCAGGCUCAUCUUUGUGCUUUAAUUACUCGCUUCUGCAUUUUGAUGGAGGGGGGUAGCGGGGUGAUUGUGCCUUAUCACCUAUCUGUGAGGAUAAAAGACUACCCAAUUACUUUGUUUGGAUGCUAAUGAUUGCAUUUCAUUAGUAGCCGCUCUCAGCCCUCCUCACCCAAUAAAUGAAUGAAUAUGCAGUAAUUUCAAUUAUUGGAAUUAUGAAAAUUGCUUUUAAAAAGACGACGCGGGUAUCAUCAGCUUUCCACUGUGACAUAAUGCCAUUUUAAUUUCUAUAAUAGUUUUAAUUGUCAGUGUCCCCGCCACGCAUUAAUCAUUUAAUUGUAUUGUCUCUUUCUGCAGCAAACACCUACACCCCCCCACACCCACCCGCUUUCCCGCCCCAGCUUUGAAAUCACAAUCAGCGCCACCAUCUUAAGAGUGAUGAGGCGCGGCGCCGGCCAACUUCAGCCAAACUUACCCCGGCUUCUGUCGGAGGCCGCCAGGGCGCCAUGUGACCUCCAGCUGACCUCCAGAAACGCCAUCGGUUGAACUCUUUAACAUCGGAGCUCCAGAGUUUAUGGAUUUGCUGUAACUUUUUAACACGAUCAUUCCAGGAGAUUCUGAAGGAGAAAAGCGGCUCGAGAAGCAGGUGAUCCAAGUGCAGAUCCUGAAGAUCCACAGCCGGAUCCAGAACACAGAAAGUUCCAGAUGACCAGGAGGAUCCAAGAAAACUGUGAUGCUGGAAAUCAGAAGGUUCUGUCAGAACCGAGGAUCCGUCCUGAGGGAAACGACCUGGAAGUAACCGAGUGAUCCUGAAUCAGCGACUCAGGACUUGGAGAUUUUUUUUUAAGUGGAUCUCUAGACCUCCUGCCCCAAAGGAAGGACGUCUAGGUCUGGAACGUUGUUCCUCUUCUGCUCCAGCAGAGGAAACUCCACAGGAUCCUUCCUGAAAGGACCGGACCUCAAUCCAAUCCCGGAACGUUCAUCAUGAAGUGAAGAUCUCCAAAGACGUUCCUGAUCCAGACUGGACGUUCCUGAGCUUCCUGAGUUCCAAGGUUGUUCUGCUGUAGACCAUCAGCAGCUGAAACAUCUCAGUCAGAAGAUGACAGAGUGGAAUGAGUCAUGGAGGUUUUAUUAUGUUCUCUAUGUUGUUUAUUCCAAAGUUGCUUGUUUUUAUUUACAUUUUAGGAUCAUUUACAGUUGUGUCGAUUUUAUUAAAGAAAAUGAAACUUGUGACGUUAAAAUCAUCAAAGGAGCGAGAGGAACCAAAGCAGGAACGUCCUGGAGAACAGUGAUGGUGACCGCAGCAGGACUGAAGCUCGACCGCCGACAUACAUCAGGCAUCGGCGUAACCAUGGAAACCAGAAGAGACGCAUCCUCCGGUAGAAUCGGAUCCUGAAGGUCCGUCGAGUGUCUUUGUGCUGAGGAUUUAUUCAGACAGGACCAGCAUGUUUCUGCAGGGAGGGGUGGACCCCCCCCCCCAGCAAACAGCUGGGAUGCAGAGGAUUCUGGGACUCUGCUGUUCUCCUGCCACGGGGGGGGGGGGCUCUCAAAUGUGAGAUUCUCUGUAAAUAUGUCUGGAUCUGAACAACAUCUGGAUGUGAUGGUGCCUUCCUUCGGGGGGCGGGGCUUCACAGCACAGGGACCCCCCUCCUUCCCCACAGACCUUCAUUUCUCCUGGAGGUCACUACAAACCUGGAAUCCUUCAGGACUUUGAAGAAGAAACACGAGGAGCUGAAGCGUCUGAGCUUUUGGGAUGUAACAGGAAGAAGAAGAGAGAACGUGAUGAUGGAGGAACCCAGAGUCGCCGUGGAAACGGGAACCAUGGAGCCAUGUUGGUCGGAGAUUUCAAACUAAACAGAACCGGAACGCCGUAACAC